rnacentral:rRNA from 1 species
GACGAACGCUGGCGGCGUGCUUAACACAUGCAAGUCGAACGGAAAGGCCCCUUUGGGGGUGCUCGAGUGGCGAACGGGUGAGUAACACGUGAGUAACCUGCCCUUGACUUCGUGAUAACUUCAUGAAACUGGGGCUAAUACCUGAUAGGAAUCCUUGCUGCAUGGUGGGGGUUGGAAAGCUUCGGCGGUUUUGGAUGGACUCGCGGCUUAUCAGCUUGUUGGUGGGGUAGUGGGUUACCAAGGCUUUGACGGGUAGCCGGCCUGAGAGGGCGACCGGCCACAUUGGGACUGGGAUACGGCCCAGACUCCCACGGGAGGCAGGAGUGGGGAAUAUUGCACAAUGGGCGGGAGCCUGAUGGAGCAACGCCGCGGGCGGGAUGACGGCCUUCGGGGUGUAAACCGCUUUCAGCAGGGGAGAAGCUUGUGGUGACGGUACCUGCAGAAGAAGCACCGGCUAACUACGUG